rnacentral:rRNA from 1 species
GAUGAACGCUGGCGGCGUGCUUAACACAUGCAAGUCGAGCGAGAAGUUUUGAAAAGAUUCUUCGGAUGAAAUUUAAAAUGGAAAGCGGCGGACGGGUGAGUAACGCGUAGGCAACCUGCCCCAUACAAAGGGAUAGCAUUUGGAAACGAAUAUUAAUACCUUAUGAAACUUAACUAGUGCAUGCUAGGUAGGUCAAAGAUUUAUCGGUAUGGGAUGGGCCUGCGUCUGAUUAGCUAGUUGGUGAGGUAACGGCUCACCAAGGCGACGAUCAGUAGCCGACCUGAGAGGGUGAACGGCCACAUUGGAACUGAGACACGGUCCAAACUCCUACGGGAGGCAGCAGUGGGGAAUAUUGCACAAUGGGGGAAACCCUGAUGCAGCAACGCCGCGUGAACGAUGAAGGCCUUUGGGUCGUAAAGUUCUGUUCUAGGUGAUGAAAACUGAUAGUAACCUAGGAGAAAGCCCCGGCUAACUCCGUG